rnacentral:tRNA from 1 species
GCCUUCGUGGUGUAAUGGUCAACACGCUGGGAGCCAAUUUCAGAGGUCCGUGGUUCGAGUCCCGGCGGAGGCG